rnacentral:rRNA from 1 species
AGCAGCCGCGGUAAUUCCAGCUCCAAUAGCGUAUAUUAAAGUUGUUGCAGUUAAAAAGCUCGUAGUUGAAUUUCGGGAUCAAGGAAUCGGUCAUGCCUUGGUAUGUACUGGUUUUAUUGGUUCUCACCUUCUAAAGAACCAUAAUGUCAUUUAUUUGAUGUUAUGGGGAAUUAGGACUGUUACCUUGAAAAAAUUAGAGUGUUUAAAGCAAGCUUACGCUUGAAUACAUUAGCAUGGAAUAAUGAAAUAGGACAUCAGAUUCUAUUUUGUUGGUUUCUAGGAUCGAUGUAAUGAUUAAUAGGGACAGUCGGGGGCAUCAGUAUUCAAUUGUCAGAGGUGAAAUUCUUGGAUUUACUGAAGACGAACUACUGCGAAAGCAUUUGCCAAAGAUGUUUUCAUUAAUCAGUGAACGAAAGUUAGGGGAUCGAAGACGAUCAGAUACCGUCGUAGUCUUAACCAUAAACCAUGCCGACUAGGGAUCGGGCGAUGUUGAUUCUCAUGACUCGCCCGGCGCCUUAUGGGAAACCAAAGUGUUU